CUUAGGAACUGAGAAUGUGAUAAUUGGAAUGCUUGCAAGAUUACAUUCAUGGAAUGGUAAAGCGAAGGUUCCAUUCACAAUUUGUUUUUAUGCAUAAUACUUAUAUUCUGAUAGUUUCCCUUCUUUGUAUAUGCCCUCUUCCAAUCCGCCAAUUGCUGCACUCCAAAAUUUGUUUAAUAUAUUAAAGAUUAAUUUGGUCUGUGGAGAUCGAUUUCUUAUGCUUACAGACUUUUAUAUCUCAUCAGUGCUAUCUUUCUAAUUCUGGCCAAUUGCCUUACAAGUGGUCUGUGGAGAUCGAUUUCUGCUGCUCGCGGACGGAUGCCGAAGGAUGGGGCAACCUACCUAACAUCUGCUUUAUUUUUUUCUUCCUACGAUGGUUUCCCAACAAGACGUCGCUGCGGAUGGCGGUGGCCCGGAUCAAGCUGCUGCGGAAUCGCAAGGAGGUGCAGGUACACCAGAUGCGUCACGAGGUCGCGCAGCUCCUCGAGGCCAACCAGGACAUGACCGCGCGCAUCAGGGUUGAACAUGUCAUAAGGGAAGAAAAGUUCAUGCAAGCAUAUGACUUGAUUGAAGUAUACUAUGAACUUAUAGUAGCACGUCUGUCCAUUAUUGAUUCACAGAAGUAAGGCAACCUUUUCUUUCUAUUAUGCAAACCUAUAUUUGUUGUUCCAUGAUUUUAGUUGUAUAGUUUUGUUUCUUGAUCUGAGGUUAUAGAAGCAGCGGCGGAGCACAGCCAACAAAUGAGGUAUGGCAGUCGCGGGGGGUGCUGUGUGCGCCACACGUUGAGGCGGGUCGCUAAUGGCAUCGUAGGCUCAUGGCGGAUUGGAAGAGGGCAGGAGGCAUUGUCGCUCUAGAACAUUGUUGCUGCUUUGCAUUGACGUACACUGUUGCAUUGCACAAUCUUUUGCAGAUGUGUAUCUUGCUGGAACGGUCAUGUUGAUAUUUGGGAUGGGUCUCUACAGUCUCUUCGUCAGCAACGCUUUUGCGGAUGUUCGUUCUGAAUACAAACGUGCCCUGAGCGGAUCGUCGCUGUUCUAGAUGUUCGCUUUGAAGCCAUUAAAAUCCUAGAAUGGAGAUCACACAGUUGGGAAGCUCUUCAAAGGAACCAAAUAAUAUAGUUGUA